AAUAAUAGCUGGUGUUUGUCGAAAAAACGACUAGACUUUGAUGUUGCCUCCUAUCGUCGCUGGUAAUCGAAGAACCGGUGUUGUGUGAAAGAAACUGCGCCCGGUUUGAGACCCGUUGCUGAGCUGAAAGCCACUGAGUUUCAAAAGAUAGGAGAGCGAAAUUGGCAUUGCUUUCAAAGCACUGAUUUGAUACCGGCGAAGACUGAGCAGACCCUAGCCGUCAUCCGGAAAGAACCAGGACAAGGCGAAGACGGCGAUGGAUGACUCCCGAGAGCCUGGACAACCAGAGUGACAGCGUACUCGACUGAGGCGAAGCAGACAAGUUUGCCUCAUCAAAGAGAAGAAUCCCACUUCAUUAGAGGCUGGACCUGGUUACCAGUUUGGCUGGCUUGCUGCUAUUGCUGCUAUGUAGAAACCAUUAAACAACCUCGCUAAAGAAACGAGCCUUGCCUCUAACAAACUUCUACACAAUCUAUGGCAACUUUUGAGACUCGUGUAUGUUGGGUACGAUACAGACGAAGACCAGCAUCCGUUCUCAGCGUAAACGCUUCGUUUGAUGCUAAUAGUAUCUGUGACAGAAGCGUGAUAGGAUGUUGGUAGAAAUAUUAGCAGCUGAAGCAUAAAAAGCUGCAGAAUAUUCAGUGGAACUUUUUGGGUAGACAGUAGACAGGAAAAGCUCAAGAUGUACAGCAUUUCAAAUGUGGCAUCGUACGUAUUAACGUCAGCUGCACAUUUACGUAUUGCAGAGUCACGAGCGCCACCGGGAUGCUUGAACCCGUGUUUUUUAUAUAUUGCUUGCAGUAUCGCCACAUGAGAGAUACUGAUAUAAAUAUAAAAAUAUGUCUUUUUUUUCCAGUAAAAUAUUACGUAAAGA